ensembl:snRNA U6 U6 spliceosomal RNA
GUGCUCACUUUAGCAGCACAUAUAUUAAAACUGGAAUGAUACAAAGAAGAUUAGCAUGAGCCCUUUGCAAGGAUGAUAUGCAAAUUCAUGAAGCAUUCCUUUUUUUU